CGAAAAGCUUCGGGGAGGUGCAAAUAACCUUUGAUCCGGAGGUUUCCGAAUGGGGCAACCCACCAUGAUUAAUAUUAUGGUACUCCUAUCUGAAUACAUAGGGUAGGUAGAGUUAACGGAGUGAACUGAUACAUCUAAGUAACUCUAGGAAGAGAAAAUAACAAUGAUUCCCUUAGUAGUGGCGAGCGAACGGGGAAAAGUCUAAACCACUUACGUGCCAAGCUUGCAGGUUUUGCGUUAGUGGUGUUGUGGGAUUAAUUCUGAGCCAGCUGCAAUAGGCUCGACGAGUCAAAAAAUCAAUAGUUAGGUGAAUGUUCUGGAAAGUUCAGCCAUAGAAGGUGAUAGCCCUGUAACUAAAAACUUGAGAUCUUGUCCGAAUUAACACCCGAGUAGCGCGGGACACGAGAAAUCUUGUGUGAAUCAGCCGGGACCAUCCGGUAAGACUAAAUACUUCCAUGUGACCGAUAGUGAACUAGUACCGUGAGGGAAAGGUGAAAAGUACCCCUAGAGGGGAGUGAAAUAGAACCUGAAACCGUAUGCCUACAAGCGGUCGGAGCUCCAUUUAGGUGGGGUGACGGCGUGCCUUUUGCAUAAUGAGCCAGCGAGUUGCUCGUACGUUGCAAGGUUAAGAAUAGUACAUUCGGAGCCGAAGCGAAAGCGAGUCUGAACAGGGCGUUCAGUAGCGUGCGGCAGACCCGAAACCGGGUGAUCUAGCCAUGNCCAGGUUGAAAGUGCGGUAACACGCACCGGAGGACCGAACCCACUUCGGUUGAAAACGGAGGGGAUGAGNUGUGGUUAGGGGUGAAAGGCCAAUCAAACUCGGAGAUAUCUGGUUCUCGCCGAAAUGCCUUUAGGGGCAGCGUUAUAUUANUGUNCCGGGGGUAGAGCACUGAAUGGGCUAGGGGGCCUACAAGCUUACCAACCCCAAUCAAACUCCGAAUACCGGAUACAUGUUGUAUAGCAGUGAGGUUGCGGGCGAUAAGGUUCGUAGCCAAGAGGGAAACAACCCAGAUCAACAGCUAAGGUCCCAAAAUUGAUACUAAGUGAUAAAGGAUGUCAAAUCGCCCAGACAGCUAGGAGGUUGGCUUAGAAGCAGCCAUCCUUUAAAGAAAGCGUAACAGCUCACUAGUCGAGGGGUUUUGCGCCGAUAAUAUCCGGGACUGUAAGUAUCAUACCGAAGCUUUGAGAUUCUUAGAAUCGGUAGGCGAGCGUUCCAUUGACCGUUGAAGGUGGACCUGUGAGGGCCGCUGGAGGAGAUGGAAAUGAGUAUGCUGGCAUGAGUAGCGAUAAACACAGUGAAAUUCUGUGUCGCCGUAAGCCCAAGGUUUCCUGAGUAAAGUAACUCUGCUCAGGGUUAGUCGGACCCUAAGUCGAGGCCGAAAGGCGUAGACGAUGGAAAACGGGUAAAAUAUUCCCGUACCAGCGAUUAAUUGUUUAAGCUAAGGGGGGACGCAGGAGUGAAAGAUCAGCACGGUAUUGAACGUCCGUGUCUAAGCAUGUAGGGCGAUCCGGUAGGCAAAUCCGCCGGAUCUUAUAGCCUGAGAUGUGAAUGGGAAGCGCGCCUUCGGGCAAGCCAACUGAUCCUAACCAGACUGCCAAGAAAAUCCUCUAUGUUAGAUUAAUAGCUGACCGUACCGUAAACGGACACACGUGGGCGAGGAGAGUAUCCUCAGGCGCUAGAGAGAAUCAUGGUUAAGGAACUCGGCAAAAUGGCCCCGUAACUUCGGGAGAAGGGGUGCCCUAAUUAGGUGAUGAUCCUUGCGAUCAAAGCCGAACAGGGUCGCAGUGAAGAGGCUCAAACGACUGUUUAACAAAAACACAGGUCUCUGCUAAAUCGUAAGAUGAAAUAUAGGGACUGACACCUGCCCGGUGCCGGAAGGUUAAAUGGCGAGGUUAGUUCUUCGGAACGAAGCUUUAAAAUGAAGCCCCGGUAAACGGCGGCCGUAACUAUAACGGUCCUAAGGUAGCGAAAUUCCUUGUCGGGUAAGUUCCGACCUGCACGAAU
rnacentral:rRNA from 1 species